rfam:Trypanosoma cruzi strain CL Brener tcruzi_1047053444019, whole genome shotgun sequence.
GAUGUGAUCGACAACCAGGCCGAUGUAAAGCCGUCGCAGAUGGACGUUGACACAGCAAUGAAAACA